GAAUGAUUCAGAUAACCAGUGAUAAAUAAAAAUUAAGUUAAUUGUACAACUAGUUUGACAAUAUACAAGGUGUAAGAAUCUUAACAAUUGAUUUAAAAGCAAAGAUGCAACAAGAACAUGCUUCUUGUUACGUGUAUGGAUCUCUUUAACUUCCACAAGCCAAGCACUCAUCGCGGUUAGUUAGAGAACAUACCAUCUGCUCCAUUUCAGAAUUCUCGUCAUCUGCUGCUGCCUUGGGCUCAUCCUGCAAUGAGAUGUUCAAAACCAAAAUUAACUAGAAAAUAAAUCUAAACCUAUUAGGGUGAGGAUGUUCACACCAUUCAAAAUUGUCUACCUUUAUCAUGGAAGUGUCGACAGUGAAUUUUAUAGCAUCAGCUGCUGCACGUGAUCUUAGAUAGUACAUCCCNUUUAGCCCAUUUUAUUAUAUAA
rnacentral:lncRNA from 1 species